GCUGGAUCCUGGAGUGCCGGACGGCGUCAUUCAGCCUGGUGAGACUUCUUCUGGGUGCCAAUGUGACUGAGCAGAGGUCUCUGGCAGGAAAAAAAGAAGGAGGCGUUGGCUUUAUGGUGAAUAAUGCACAAAUUGAAGGAAAACCUCGAGAGCGCCUCCAACCAGGUCCUGUCUCUCACCACGCUGGUUACUGGAGGCUCGCUGAGCCGCUCACAGCUCGGACAUGAAGAGAGAAUAAUGGCGUGGUGGAGACAGAACCAACGAAGACCAGCAGAGACACUUCCGGACUAGUUCUUCAAAAUAAAAGUCCUACUGAACUUUG